CAAGCUCGAUUGUAAGUCCGUUCUAGUCUCGUUUUUAAUGAUUUUUACAUUUUUGGAAUCCCAGUAAUUUGAUUUAACUUAUUCUAACAAUAAUUUAACCUAGGUUUUAUAUUUGGAAAAAUACCCAUAGGUGAAAUUUGUGUAUUUUGGUGUUUUAUGAUAGAAUAUAAGGUUUUAAAUUAUGUUAGACAACUUGUGCUACUCGGUUUUAAGUGAAAACGAGCAAAAGGGCUUAAUCGGUAAAAAUACCUAAUAGUCAUAAGUACAUGUUAGAGUGAGAAUUUGAUGUUGCCAUAGAAGGGAAAAAUGAUCAGCAUGUCAUAAAACAUAAGAAAAUAGGCUGAAGUUUAAUUUACGAGCUUUGGGUCAAAAGUGUAAAUAUGUAAAAGUUUAGGGGCAAAACUGUAAUUUUUCCAAAAUAUGAUUUUGGGUCAAUUUGAAUAAUGUGAGUCCUAAUUAGACUAUAUUUUAAAUGAUAGAGCAAGGAAAACUAAAAUUCGGGCUAAAAUAGGGAAAAUACCAAGUUAUGGACGAAAUGGUAAAAGUAGCAAUUUUCGCAUACGAGGUAAGUUCAUGUGUAAAUAAUGUAGCAUAAUUGUUAUUUUUAAGUUAUUGAUGUUAAUUAUAUGAUACGCUGAUUUUUAAUCGUGAAAUAUUAUGCUUUGUGGUUAAUGUUGAGUAAUAUGCAAAUUAUGUUUACUACUUGAUAAAUAUGAAUUGCUACCGAGUAUCGGUUCCGAUAUUCCAUGGAAGACGACAAAUGUGAGAUCGAGGGAAAAAGCCCGUUUGAACCUUAGGAAUAGAUUAGGAUACAAGUGACAUGUCACUAGGAUGUUUGAGCAUUCGAACUCGUUGAGUUGAGUCCGAGUUCACUUAUGGAUGCGAAUGUCUGAACUCGUUGAGUUGAGUCCGAGUUCGAGCGAUGUAACUAGGCAUCCGAGCUCGUUGAGUUGAGUCCGAGUUCACUUAUGGAUGCGAACACCCGAGCUCGUUGAGUUGAGUCCGAGUUCACUUAUGGGCGGGUUACAUGGUAGCUUGGCUACAUAUGUGGCACUUAUGUGCAAACUUUCCAUGUAUCCGAAUUAUAUUCCGAUGUGUUCAACGGGUAAAAUUCUACUCAAAUGGAGGAAUACUCGAGAUGAAAGGGACGUAUUGGUAAGUGUUGUGAAAUGAAUACUUUGAACAGGUAUGUACUUAACCCUCGGGUUGAAAACUCGAUAUAACAACAAUAUGGUAAGAUGAUAAAUGAAAAUGUGAUAUGAAUGUCUCGAUGAUGAUUUUGCAAAUGAUGUUUUAUGUUUGCUUAUAUAGUUAUGUUACUUGCUAUUUGCAUGUGAACUUACUAAGCAUUUAUGCUUACUCCCUCCUUUUCAUUCCUUGUAGUGUUGACAAGCCAGCUCGGAAAUCGGAAACGGUCAGAGGCACGCUCACACUAUCCGUAUACCAUCUUGGCAUAAUGGCUUGUAUAUUUUGAGUAUGACAUGUAUAGCAUUAUAAUCAUUUUGUGUAUAUGGUCUUAUGAUAUGGUUAUUGAGUGGUAUGGAAAUGCUUGGUAAUGAUUAGCCAUUGGAAUGGGUAAUCAUGAUCAUAUUUGGUGUUAUGUAUGCUAAAUU
rnacentral:lncRNA from 1 species